CCUACGGGUGGCUGCAGUCGUGAAUCAUUCACAAUGGGGGAAACCCUGAUGGUGCGACGCCGCGUGGGGGAAUGAAGGUCUUCGGACUGUAAACCCCUGUCAUGUGGGAGCAAAUUAAAAAGGUAGUACCACAAGAGGAAGACACGGCGAACUCUGUGCCAGCAGCCGCGGUAAUACAGAGGUCUCAAGCGUUGUUCGGAAUCACUGGGCGUAAAGCGUGCGUAGGCUGUUUAGGAAGUCGUGGGUGAAAGGCGCGGGCUCAACCCGCGGACGGCACAUGAAACUGGGAGACUAGAGUAAUGGAGGGGAAACCGGAAUUCUCGGUGUAGGAGUGAAAUGCGUAGAUAUCGAGAGGAACACUAGUGGCGAAGGCGGGUUCCUGGACAGUAACUGACGCUGAGGCACGAAGGCCAGGGGAGCGAAAGGGAUUAGAUACCCUAGUAGUC
rnacentral:rRNA from 1 species